rnacentral:rRNA from 1 species
AUUGAACGCUGGCGGCGUGCCUAAUACAUGCAAGUCGAACGAAGUGGCGCACGGGUGAGUAAGAUAUAGUUAAUCUGCCCUACACAGAGGAACAACAGUUGGUAAUGACUGUUACUACCUCAUAGUGUAGGAUGAUACUAUAUCGUAUCAUCUAGUUGUUAAGGUAAUGGCUUACCAAGGCUAUGACGCGUAACUGGUCUGAGGGGAUGCUCAGUCAAAUUGGAACUGAGGCACGAUUCAAACUCCUACGGGAGGGGGCAGUAGGGAAUAUUGCGCAAUGGGGGGAUCACUGACGGAGCAACGCGGCGUGGAGGAUGAAACUUUUCGGGGCGGAAACUCCUUUUAACAGGAAAGCGGUACCUGCUGAAUAAGCACCGGCUAACUCCGUGCCAGCAGCCGCGGUAAUUC